AUAUCCCCUAGAGUUCCCUUGAACACUUCACUGGGGGCGGUUCUUGUCUUCCCUACUGAAGUGUUUGGGGGAACUCCUGGUGUCUU
rnacentral:pre_miRNA from 1 species